GUUAACGCUGGCGGCGUGCCUAACACAUGCAAGUCGAGCGAAGAGUGGCGGAGUAUCGCGCUCUUAGCGGCAGACGGGUGAGUAACACGUAAACAAUCUGCCCUCGAAUGGGAGACAACUUGACGAAAGUCGAGCUAAUACCCCAUACAAUCCUCUUGAGGCAUCUCAAGGGGAUGAAAGGCCCGCAAGGGUCGUUCGAGGAGGAGUUUGCGGCCUAUCAGCUAGUUGGCGGUGUAAAAGACCACCAAGGCUAUGACGGGUAGCCGAUCUAAAAGGAUGACCGGCCACAAGGGCACUGAGACACGGGCCCUACUCCUACGGGAGGCAGCAGUGGGGAAUUUUGGACAAUGGACGAAAGUCUGAUCCAGCGACGCCGCGUGAAGGACGAAGGUUUUCGGAUCGUAAACUUCUUUUGCAGGGGACGAAUGCGCGCAAGCGUUUGACGGUACUCUGCGAAUAAGCCACGGCUAACUACGU
rnacentral:rRNA from 1 species